AAGAUAUUAGUAAAUUAAUUACAUAACUUUGUCAAAGUUAAAUUAUAGGCUAAUAACCUAUAUAUCUUU
rnacentral:tRNA from 1 species